rnacentral:misc_RNA from 1 species
AAGUCGUAACAAGGUUUCCGUAGGUGAACCUGCGGAAGGAUCAUUAUUGAAUGUAUUCAAAGGAGAGCUCUUGUUGAUGCUGGCUUUGAAUAAAAGUAUGUGCUCACAUCUCUUCUCUGAUUUAACAACAUUUUUCCACCUGUGCACCUUUUGUAGAACUCGAAUGAUAUAUAUGUGUUGUUGUAUGUGUGCAUGAAUGUAACUAAACUGUUAUGUUUGUGUGCGUGUGCGUAUAUGCAAUGUGUGUGUGUUUAGUAGAGUUCUAUGUUAUAUCAAAAACCCCUUUGUAUGUCCUAGAAUGUCUUUUUUUACUGGUGCUUAAUUGAACCUUUAAAUUUAUACAACUUUUAGCAACGGAUCUCUUGGCUCUC